UACAGAGGGUGCAAGCGUUAAUCGGAGUUACUGGGCGUAAAGGGCGCGUAGGCGGUUUGAAGGGUGUGAUGUGAAAGCCUUGGGCUUAACCUGAGAAGUGCAUCGCAAACCAGCAAACUGGAGUAUAUGAGAGGGUGGCGGAAUUUCCGGUGUAGCGGUGAAAUGCGUAGAGAUCGGAAGGAACGUCAAUGGCGAAGGCAGCCACCUGGCAUAAUACUGACGCUGAGGCGCGAAAGCGUGGGGAGCGAACAGGAUUAGAUACCCUGGUAGUCCACGCUGUAAACGAUGAUGACUAAAUGUUGCUGGGGGAACCUAGCAGUAUUGAAGCUAACGCGAUAAGUCAUCCGCCUGGGAAGUACGGCCGCAAGGUUGAA
rnacentral:rRNA from 1 species